GACGAACGCUGGCGGCGUGCUUCAUACAUGCAAGUCGAACGGACACCAUGGAGUGGCAACACUCCGGAAGUGUUAGUGGCGAACGGGUGAGUAACACGUGAGGAACUUGCCCCGGACUCUGGGAUAACAGGUGGAAACACCUGCUAAUACCGGAUACCACCGGUGGAUCGCAUGGUCUGCCGAUGAAAGAAUUUCGGUCCGGGAUGGCCUCGCGGCCUAUCAGCUAGUUGGUGGGGUAACGGCCUACCAAGGCGUCGACGGGUAGCUGGUCUGAGAGGAUGAUCAGCCACACUGGGACUGAGACACGGCCCAGACUCCUACGGGAGGCAGCAGUAGGGAAUCUUGCGCAAUGGGCGAAAGCCUGACGCAGCAACGCCGCGUGCGGGAAGAAGGCCUUCGGGUUGUAAACCGCUUUUGGCAGGAACGAAAAUGACGGUACCUGCAGAAUAAGGUGCGGCCAACUACGUGCCAGCAGCCGCCGUAACAC
rnacentral:rRNA from 1 species